AUUCAACUGAAGAGUCCCAAAAAGGACGAAGCACCCUAACUGAAU
rnacentral:hammerhead_ribozyme from 1 species